ACUGUGCCUCCGUGAGGGUGAACUAGCUUUACUAAGCCUGUCAGACUAGGGAAUCUGAAGGAGGAGGACAUUGCUGGUGAUUAAGCAGGGCUUCAUCUUUCAAAAAUGAAAGAUAGCAUUAACUAUAUUUCACCAGAAAAAAGCAGUUACUUGGAGGAGCAGUGACAAAUCUUAAAGGAAUGAAGGAUGAAGCAAGAUUAUUGCGCCAAACCAGUAAAAGGAAUUGUCAGUCACAGUGAUUGCAAUACAAUGGCAUUCCAUAGUGUAUUAACAUGUUUGUGUUCAUUGAAUGGACCACAAUUCAGCGUACAGUAACUUGAAAGAUGAUGUAUAAUCUUAGACAUGUCAUAAUUUUGAAAACUAUACAUGGGAAAAAGCUGAAGAAAAUCAAUGCAACAUUUUUAGAGACUUUUUGUUCUUCUUUUGAACUUUGUGAUAUGCAAGUCCUGGGUAAGACUUUGUGGGCUUUGUCCAAAUAAAAAACAUGAGUAGUGAUAAAGGGGUGGCAACCUUAGAAUGGAGGUGGGCAUUUUUGGAGGAAUUCUGACAUCAUGUCUGCCCUAGCUAUAAUGGUUCUGCCCCUUCCAUUGAUUCUGCUACUUAAGACGUUCCCAAACUGGAAGUCACUACUGCUACAUGGAUCUGCUACUGAAGAAGAUGGAUCCUCCAACAGGGAAGAAUUAGAAUCUGCUGUAGGUACUUAGAAAUUUCCUACACCAAAUUCUUUUGUUUUGUUUGUGCCAAGUUAAACUACUUUUAUUACAGAGCCCCAAAACUUUAACUGUUUACAUUUCUAUUUGUUGCAAUACAUAUUUGAAAUCACCUGGAACAAAUCUUAAUAAACAUGAAGAACAUUCUAUGAAGAACAAACACCACUGAGCAACGACCUGCUGUUAAUACUGCUAAUGCCAUUGCAAAACAGCUAUUAUUUUGAAUCCUAUUAUGUUAUUUUUGAGCACACUACCAUCCAAUAUUACUGGGACCAAGCAGUAUUUUGAAUGGUGACGGGCAGCAGACUUACUACAUCUUCGAUGAGCAUUGUCUUGGUCACUAAGCCAGAAAGAAGUUGGAGGUUUUACGAUGACUUCCAUCGGCUUAAUCAAUUCUCCCAAUUUCAUGCUUAUCCAAUGUCACAAGUGGACAACCACCUGGAGCGACUCGGUAAAGCAGAAUAUCUGACCACUUUUGACAUGACAAAAGGGUGUUGGCAGGUUCCUUCAAUGGACUCCACAAAGGACUGACACUUUGGAUACAGGUCUUGGUGCCAUGCUGAGCUGAGCAUCGGUGCUGUUGAACUCCCCAUCAUAUUUCUGAGCCAGAAACGGCUGGAACGGGAAACCAGACCAGCUGACUGGCCCUUCCACUGCUGACAUCACUUCUGGUUCCCGCUCUUCUGGACCCACCCCUUCUGGUCUACCUACCAUAUAAAUCCUCCAUUUGCCAUAUUAUGUCAGUUCUGUUAUGAGCUCCUGUCUAUAAAAGCUGUUUAUUAACUGGCCUAAGCCAAGUAUAUGAGGUCACCACAUUGGUACCCCAACUCUU